GACGAACGCUGGCGGCGUGCCUAACACAUGCAAGUCGAGCGGGGUGGUUCUGAAGGGCAACCGGAGGGAUCACCUAGCGGCGAACGGGUGAGUAACGCGUGGAUAACCUACCUCAAGGUCUGGGAUAACAGCUCGAAAGGGCUGCUAAUACCGGAUGUGGUGCAUAUGCUGCAUGGUAGAUGCACUAAAGGGGAAACCCGCCAUGAGAUGGGUCCGCGUCCCAUCAGCUAGUUGGUGGGUAAAGGCCUACCAAGGCGACGACGGGUAGCCGGCCUGAGAGGGUGACCGGCCACACUGGGACUGAGACACGGCCCAGACUCCUACGGGGGCAGCAGUGGGGAAUAUUGCACAAUGGGCGAAAGCCUGAUGCAGCGACGCCGCGUGGGCGAAGAAGGCCUUGGGUUGUAAAGCCCUGUCUGGAGGGACGAAGUAAAUGACGGUACCUCCGGAGGAAGCCACGGCUAACUACGUGCCAGCAGCCGCGGUAACACCAA
rnacentral:rRNA from 1 species